AUUGAACGCUGGCGGCAUGCUUUACACAUGCCAGUCGAACGGUAACAGGCCGCAAGGUGCUGACGAGUGGCGAACGGGUGAGUAAUGCAUCGGAACGUGCCCAGUCGUGGGGGAUAACUACUCGAAAGAGUAGCUAAUACCGCAUACGAUCUAUGGAUGAAAGCGGGGGACCGUAAGGCCUCGCGCGAUUGAGCGGCCGAUGUCAGAUUAGGUAGUUGGUGGGGUAAAGGCUCACCAAGCCAACGAUCUGUAGCUGGUCUGAGAGGACGACCAGCCACACUGGGACUGAGACACGGCCCAGACUCCUACGGGAGGCAGCAGUGGGGAAUUUUGGACAAUGGGCGCAAGCCUGAUCCAGCAAUGCCGCGUGCAGGAAGAAGGCCUUCGGGUUGUAAACUGCUUUUGUACGGAACGAAACGGCUCUGGUUAAUACCCGGGGCUAAUGACGGUACCGUAAGAAUAAGCACCGGCUAACUACGUG
rnacentral:rRNA from 1 species